rnacentral:rRNA from 1 species
CCAGCAAUGGCCGAAUUCUUUAAUUUGUAGAUGGUAACUCUGUAAGAAGUCUUUGCUCAAGUUUCCUGGAACGGAACGCCAAGGAGGGUGACAGCCCCGUGAGGCAUUGACAUACUUGCGUGUAGAGUGCUAUCGAAGAGUCGAGUUGUUUGGGAAUGCAGCUCAAAGUGGGUGGUAAGUUCCAUCUAAAGCUAAAUAUUGGCGAGAGACCGAUAGCGAACAAGUACUGUGAAGGAAAGAUGAAAAGCACUUUGAAAAGAGAGUGAAAUAGUACGUGAAAUUGUUAAUAUGGAAGGAUAUAAAACUAGACAUGGAGCCUUAAGGUCUGCAGUCCCUCGGGAUUGUUUUGUCUUUUGGUUCUACACCAGCAUCAGUUUUGGCAGGAGGAUAAACAAUGCGGAAUGUAGCUGCUCUUGCAGUGUUAUAGACGUAUUGCAUACUCUUAGCCGAGACUGAGGUCAGCCUUUGUAGGAUGCUGGGGUAAUGGUUUUAUAUCACCCGUCUUGAAAACACGGACCAA